UAAUUGCGCGUCAACUUGUGAACUGCAGGACACAUGAACAUCGACAUUUCGAACGCACAUUGCGGUCCUGGGAUCUCAUACCCGGACCACUCCUGGCUGAGGGUCGUAUCUCAUUUCAAGACUGCUCGGAUUUUCUUUGAUCUUCGCGAUCGACGAGAAAUGUCUGAGCGUGCUGAGCGUAUAAGCGCGAUUCGAUCGCGACGUUCUAAAACGUGACAGCGGACCCGUACGUGUGACCUAACUCUCUCGUACGGGUCGUACGAAUAUGAAAGGGAUGAGACGUGUUUAAAACGGUCGUUCGCACGUUUUUGUGAUAAACGUAGCGCGCACCAUUAAUACGAUCGUCGUAUCCGAUAAAAUUAGUUUUUAAUCGACGUCGGAUCGUAGGUGCGUUGUCUCUCGAAUACGAGGGAGAAAACACCGUUUUUCGACGGCGCGUCUUUUCCAUUCUAAACUUUUAUAUUUCGUAUUGGCUCCUAAUCUUCAUUAUUAUGAUGAUUACGAGCGCCACGCAUAUUAAAC
rnacentral:rRNA from 1 species